rnacentral:rRNA from 1 species
CCUACUGGUGGCAGCAGUGAGGAAUAUUGGUCAAUGGGCGCGAGCCUGAACCAGCCAAGUAGCGUGAAGGAUGACUGCCCUACGGGUUGUAAACUUCUUUUAUAAAGGAAUAAAGUGAGGCAAGUGUGCCUUUUUGUAUGUACUUUAUGAAUAAGGAUCGGCUAACUCCGUGCCAGCAACCGCGGUAAUACGGAGGAUCCGAGCGUUAUCCUGAUUUAUUGGGGUUAAAGGGAACUUAGAUGGGUUUUUAAGUCAGUUGUGAAAUUUUGCGGCUCAACCGUAAAAUUGCAAUUGAUACUGGCAGCCUUGAGUACAGUUGAGGUAGGCGGAAUUCGUGGUGUAGCGGUGAAAUGCUUAGAUAUCACGAAGAACUCCGAUUGCGAAGGCAGCCUACUAAACUGCCACUGACAUUGAUGCUCGAAAGUGUGGGUAUCAAACAGGAUUAGAUACCCUAGUAGUC